rnacentral:rRNA from 1 species
GAAAUGCGAUAAGUAAUGUGAAUUGCAGAAUUCAGUGAAUCAUCGAAUCUUUGAACGCACCUUGCGCUCCUUGGUAUUCCUUGGAGCAUGCCUGUUUGAGUGUCGUGAAUUUCUCCAACUUGAGCUUUUGUUCAACGCGGGUCCAUGGGUUUGCAACUUGCGUUGCUCACCUUAAAUACAGUACGCUGGACAACCAGUGAGUUGCUAAUUUCAUUGCUAACUUGCGUAAAUGUUGUCUGCUGCUAAUCACGGCGUGGGGGUUACAACCCACCCAAGUGUUCGCACACCUCACUUCUGACCUCAAAUCAGGUAGGACUACCCGCUGAACUUAAGCAUAUCAAUAAGCGGAGGAAAAGAAACU